AAGGCGCUAUAUAAUAAGUACAUAUGGGUGAAAGGCGCUAUAUAAUACAAACAUAUGGGUGAAAGGCGCUAUAAAAUACAUACAUAUGGGUGAAAGGCGCUAUAUAAUAAGUACAUAUAGCUGAAAGGCGCUAUAUAAUACAUACAUAUGGGUGAAAGGCGCUAUAUAAUACAUACAUAUAGGUGAAAGGCGCUAUAUGCAUGACGGAUGGUGAGCCGAGUGUCAGGACCCAAACCUGCGUUCUUGUUGCUGUCAGUUCAGGCCGUGCGCCCCCUAAUGGUGGAUCCCAAAUGAAUGCUUUUGUGUUUACCCGUCCGUAGGUUGGCUUCGUCGGGCA